rnacentral:lncRNA from 1 species
AACAGAUUUUGGACUUGAGGUUUCAUUUUGUAUCGUAAUUGAAUAGAAGCAAAGACUGAAAUUGAACAUAGAAGCAAAGACUGAAAUUGAACAGGAAUCCAAAUGCCACUGGUAAUUGUACAAAGUUGUUUGAAAUAUAAUUGUACAAACAAAGUGAAAGUGAAGCUUAAAGGAUAACAAGACCAGAUUUGGUAAAAAUUUCAUUGGUAAUUGUACAAAAUUUUGUUUCAAUGGAAAUUAUAGAGAAUAAGAAUGGAAAAAUAGGCUAAAAAGAAAUCAAAAAUGGACAAGACUGUGGGCAAUUGAAUAUGUUCAAGCAGCAUAUGAGCAUAUCGGGCCAAACCACAACAAAUCAACCUUAUAACCCCAUGUUGAAAUACAACUCAAACCAUUCCGAGAACAAUCAACCAGCUCUAAUCAAUCAUUCCAAUAGCAGACAUAGCCCAAAUCUUCAAUUUUGAUAACAUGUAAACACCUCCCAGAAUAUACAUAACUAGCACAAGAAGCCACACAUCAAACAGAAAUCCAACUCAUCUAGCCAGAAUCUCUAGUCCAGAAGAAAUAUAAAACUCUUCUUCAAACUUUAAACUUCAACUUAAACUUCAUCAAUUGACAAAAGAAAUUAAAAUCGGACAAAUAAUGAUACUAGCCAAGACAACCGAGAUCACAACCUCAAUAGCAUGAUUCCAAGAGAUAGAAAUGACCAAAUCUGAAAAGAGAUUACC